GUCAAGGCCAGCUUCCACGAUACUGUAUGCGGCAAUGUCAUACUCAUCAACAACAGUUUCAUCUUCCCCGAUAGAGGGACAGAAGCCGGGGACGAGCGGACUUAGAAAAGCUGUCAAAGUCUACUUGCAAAAAAAUUACACGGAAAAUUUUGUGCAGAGUAUACUGGAAGGGGGGUUAAGUAAAAUAGAGGGUUCAAGUCUAGUCAUCGGAGGCGAUGGACGAUACUAUGAAAAGGAGGCAACAUUGCUCAUAAUUAAAAUGUGUGCAGGAAAUGGGGUGUCUAAAGUAAUAGUUGCUCAGAAUGGUUUAAUGUCAACGCCAUCAGUAUCCUGUGUCAUCCGUAAAUACAAGACUAAUGGUGGAAUUAUUUUGACUGCAAGUCACAAUCCUGGGGGCCCAGAUGCUGAUUUUGGCAUAAAGUUCAAUACUGAAAAUGGAGGUCCAGCUCCAGAAAAUGUAACAGACAAAAUAUUUGAAAGAACAAAAAGCAUCAGUCAGUACAAGAUUUGUCCCGAUUUGAAUGCUGAUAUCUCCAAAGUUGGUCUUUCUACAUACACGGUUGAUGGUAAAGAGUUCAGUGUUCAGGUCAUAGACUCUGUGUUGGAUUAUGUGGAGUAUAUGAAGGAAAUAUUUGACUUCCCUGCUCUGAAAAACUACCUGUGCACAGGGAAACAAGUGCUUAUUGAUGCAAUGAAUGGAGAAGGAAGAGGAACAAGAAUCCCCAGUGCCAAUAAUGAAAGAAAAAGGUGACCACAAAACAGUGAAGGAUAAGAAGGAUCACCACCACCACCACAAGGAUAAACACCCACAUCCCGAGGAUCACCACAAGGCCCCUCACCAUGGCGACGGACACGGGAAAGGCGCGAAUACGAGUCCCGCACAUGCGGCUUACACGGGACGCCAGAGGACAUUCUCACACCGGGAUACCUCGCAUUCGAUCUCUUCCAGUAAAGGCCAUGCCAAGCACCCCACCAAAGACCACGACCGCCAUAGCGUGGCUACUUCCGGUGACCAGUUGCCACAACUAGAUGUCAAGUAUGAAAAUACAUACAAAAUGAGCCCCGAUGCCAAAUUCAGGGAAUCGUCUUUACGAAGCAUUAUAUCAGAGGUCUUAGAAGAAAAUAUCAAAUCCAUAACAACCUACGAUUCUUCAGUUUUAGGGGGGAAAUGCAAAUUAGCCUGUGAUGUCAUCAAAGAAAGAGUAAAGCAGCUGAACAUUACGCGGUACAAGAUAAUCGCUUCUGUGAUUGCGGCUCAGAAAGGAAGCCAAAGCAUGGUAGUGACGUCACGAUGCCUUUGGGACCAAAAGAACGAUAACUAUGUUUCAGUCAAAGUAGAAUUGGGUGAAUUCUAUGUCGUAGGAACGGUUUACGUGGUAUACGCAGAGUAAUGUGUUCAUGUAGCUCCCUAACAAUUGCUUGUACAGAAAUAUAACGCAUCUUACGAGUACAUGUAUUUAUUGAAAGUGCUAAUUUGUUUGAAUUUUUCUAUAAAAAAUGUCAAAAAGUAUCCCGGUUUCGUUAAGAUUAUCAUCAUAAAAAAGGCGAGGAG
rnacentral:sRNA from 1 species